UGGGGAAUUUUGCACAAUGGGGGAAACCCUGAUGCAGCGACGCCGCGUGAUUUAGAAGGCCUUCGGGUUGUAAAAAUCUUUUCUAUGGGAAGAAAAUGACAGUACCAUAGAAAUAAGAACCGGCUAAUUACGUGCCAGCAGCCGCGGUAAUACGUAAGGUCCGAGCGUUGUCCGGAAUCAUUGGGCGUAAAGGGUACGUAGGCGGGUAAGCAAGUUAGAAGUGAAAUCCUAUAGCUCAACUAUAGUAAGCUUUUAAAACUGCUCAUCUAGAGGUAUGGAAGGGAAAGUGGAAUUCCUAGUGUAGCGGUGAAAUGCGCAGAUAUUAGGAGGAAUACCGGUGGCGAAGGCGACUUUCUGGCCAUAACCUGACGCUGAGGUACGAAAGCGUGGGUAGCAAACAGG
rnacentral:rRNA from 1 species